UACGUAGGGUGCAAGCGUUGUCCGGAAUUAUUGGGCGUAAAGAGCUCGUAGGCGGUCUGUCACGUCGGACGUGAAAUCCAGGGCUCAACCCUGGACCUGCGUUCGAUACGGGCAGACUAGAGUUCGGUAGGGGAGACUGGAAUUCCUGGUGUAGCGGUGAAUGCGUAGUAGAUCGGGGAGGAAGGCCGGUGGCGAAGGCGGCGCUCUGGAACAUUUCUGGACGCUGAGGCUCGAAAGCGUGGGGAGCAAACAGG
rnacentral:rRNA from 1 species